UACGUAGGGGGCAAGCGUUGUCCGGAUUUAUUGGGCGUAAAGAGCGUGUAGGCGGCUAGGUAGGUCCGUUGUGAAAACUCGAGGCUCAACCUCGAGACGUCGAUGGAAACCAUCUAGCUAGAGUCCGGAAGAGGAGAGUGGAAUUCCUGGUGUAGCGGUGAAAUGCGCAGAUAUCAGGAGGAACACCGGUGGCGAAGGCGGAUCUCUGGGCCAUUACUGACGCUGAGGAGCGAAAGCGUGGGGAGCGAACAGG
rnacentral:rRNA from 1 species